UAGAAUUCCACGUGUAGCAGUGAAAUGCGUAGAGAUGUGGAGGAAUACCGAUGGCGAAGGCAGCCUCCUGGGAUAACACUGACGUUCAUGCUCGAAAGCGUGGGUAGCAAACAGGAUUAGAUACCCUGGUAGUCCACGCCCUAAACGAUGACAAUUAGCUGUUGGGACACUAGAUGUCUUAGUAGCGAAGCUAACGCGUGAAAUUGUCCGCCUGGGGAGUACGGUCGCAAGAUUAAAACUCAAAGGAAUUGACGGGGACCCGCACAAGCGGUGGAUGAUGUGGAUUAAUUCGAUGCAACGCGAAGAACCUUACCUGGUCUUGACAUGUACGGAAUCUCUUAGAGAUAGGAGAGUGCCUUCGGGAACCGUAACACAGGUGCUGCAUGGCUGUCGUCAGCUCGUGUCGUGAGAUGUUGGGUUAAGUCCCGCAACGAGCGCAACCCUUGUCAUUAGUUGCCAUCAUUAAGUUGGGCACUCUAAUGAGACUGCCGGUGAUAUGCCGGAGGAAGGUGGGGAUGACGUCAAGUCCUCAUGGCCCUUAUGACCAGGGCUUCACACGUCAUACAAUGGUCGGUACAGAGGGUAGCGAAGCCGCGAGGUGAAGCCAAUCUCAGAAAGCCGAUCGUAGUCCGGAUUGCACUCUGCAACUCGAGUGCAUGAAGUCGGAAUCGCUAGUAAUCGCAGGUCAGCAUAC
rnacentral:rRNA from 2 species